AUGAUGGUGGCCGGAGUGAAGCGGGUUGGAAGAGUUGCGGAAGAAGUGUUCAGAGCGGCGCAUGGGUGGCAUUUGGGAACAAGAAGAAUCACGGCGGGCUUGAGCUGCAAGUGCGUGUCUAAGAAGAGGAGAGAGAAUAUGGUUCGACAGAGGCUAGCAGGGGGGCGCUACGACGCCGGUGCUGCGGCCAGCAGCGAUGCGAGGGAGAGGAGCUCCUGCCACCCUCGCUGGGAGAGCCCGCACGUGAUGGCCAGGGGGGAAGCGCGCCUCGCGCAGCGAUUAAUUGACGACUCGGAUUUGAAGGGAUAUAUGGACGUUUCGUAUAGGCAGAAACCUGACCAGCUAGAUGUGCCAAUUGUCGUGACCCUGAUCAAAACAGACCGCGCAUGCGUCAUCCAAUCCAUCGGCGGCGGUGAAAACCGUCGCUCGGCCAAUGCCUCGACCACCUCCCCUCCUCGGAGUGGGUGGUGGCUCGGGAAUCCCCCGAACCAUCGAGUCUUUGAACACAAGUUGCGCCCGAGGCCACUCGGCCGAGGGCAUAAUUGUAACGGCGGGGCCCAUGGUCAGCGAACCAUACCGGACGGGAGUCGAACCAGCCGAGGCGGGACUGAGCCAGGAGGAGUAGUCGAGUCGUGUGAGGUCCAGCUCGUCGAUCUGGAGACCGCCUACCCCAAGCCAUGUUACCAUACAAAGCAAACGCGGCAAGCGGCAGCGAUGGAGGAACAAAUCGCGGCCCUCGCCAAGGCCGUCCACGACGGAUGGCUGGCCAACGAGGCUCGCCUCGACGCGAUCCAGCAGUCGUCGGAGCUGUGGAGGCCUGUUGUCACUCAUCUUCAACAACAAGUCGACGAGCUGCGCACGCAAGUGGGGCGCAUCACGCUACAUCCGAUCCUGGCGGCGCCACCGAAUCCAAUCCCGGAGGGCGACGCGGUGGUGCAACCGGCCUCGGCAUCCGACACCGGCGAGCACCACGGGCCGUUAGGCCACGGCGAGAUCGACACCACUGGGGGCAUGGCACACGGGGUGGUCACCACCCAGUUGCUGCCCCCGGUCAAGGGUAAGUCCUUAGCUGAUCCCCAUGCUCUAGUUGCUGUUCGUGCAUCUGAUUCGCCCAUACCGCAUCAGAUCGGCCCGCCCAUGCCACAUUUCCCCAACUGGUCGUUGCCUAAACUUGAUUUUCCGCCAGAUCUGUGGGUUUGCGUCGCUACCUUACACUUCACGGGUAGUGCGGCGCGCUGGCUGCAACUUCAGGAGUCUAGGAGUGGAUCGAUGCACUGGGAUGAACUCUAUACAGCCUUAGGCACGAAAUUUGGGAGAGAGCAGUAUCAGCCAAAGGACUUGGACUCCGCUUUCUCGCUGGCUUCUUUGCAGGAGGAGGUGCUGGAAGCAAUUCCCCGUCGAGAUCAUCGGCGGCAAGAGGGCGGGGGGCCGCGCAUACCACCUCGUCCCAUCAGGGUCGUCGGCGCGCCGCAGCCACGCCAGCAACCACCAGGCGUGCCGGUGGCCGCAGAGGAUCGCCGGGGCCAGGAAGUAGCAAAUACCCCCGAGCGGCUCAAGCAAGCAGUUGGAGUGGAUGUGCCAAUCGCAGGUUCGCUCCCUCCUGACAAUGCCACUUUGCAAGCCUUGCAUAUUCCUUGCAGUAUCCUCGACGAUCAGUACGGCGACGCGUCAAGUACCACCAGGCGCGUGCGGGUGCUCUGGGACAAUCUACCAGCAUCCAUGGCCACUUGGGAAGAUCCGGAUGAGCUCCGUCGCCGUUUUCCAGCAGCACCGGCUUGGGGGCAAGCCGGCUCACAAGGAGGGGAGAAUGUAACAGCGGGGCCCAUGGUCAGCGAACCAGACUGGACGGGAGUCGAACUAGCCGAGGCGGGACCGAGCCAGGAGGAGUAG
rnacentral:rRNA from 1 species